ACGCUCGACACCUACGGGGAGGCAGCAGUUGGGAAUAUUGGACAAUGGAGGAAACUCUGAUCCAGUGACGCCGCGUGAAGGAAGAAGGUCUUCGGAUUGUAAACUUAUUUUGUCAGGGAAGAAAAAAUGACUGUACCUGAAGAAAAAGCACCGGCUAACUACGUGUCAGCAGCCGCGGUAAUCUGAGCGGGCUGGCAAGGC
rnacentral:rRNA from 1 species